UACGAAGGGGCUAGCGUUGUUCGGAAUCACUGGGCGUAAAGCGCACGUAGGCGGAUCUUUAAGUCAGGGGUGAAAUCCCGAGGCUCAACCUCGGAACUGCCUUUGAUACUGGGGAUCUCGAGUCCGGGAGAGGUGAGUGGAAACUGCGAGUGUAGAGGUGAAAUUCGUAGAUAUUCGCAAGAACACCAGUGGCGAAGGCGGCUCACUGGCCCGGUACUGACGCUGAGGUGCGAAAGCGUGGGAGCAA
rnacentral:rRNA from 1 species